rfam:Camelus ferus unplaced genomic scaffold scaffold370, whole genome shotgun sequence.
GAGGGUAUAGCUUAGUGGUAGAGCAAAUGCUUCGCACGCACUAGGUCCUGGUUCAAUCCCCAGUACUUCCA